UACGUAGGGCGCAAGCGUUGUCCGGAAUUAUUGGGCGUAAAGAGCUCGUAGGCGGCCUGUUACGUCUGCUGUGAAAUCCCGGGGCUUAACCCCGGGCGUGCAGUGGAUACGGGCAGGCUGGAGGCAGGCAGGGGAGAACGGAAUUCCCGGUGUAGCGGUGGAAUGCGCAGAUAUCGGGAGGAACACCUGUGGCGAAGGCGGCCACCUGGACGACAACUGACGCUGAGACGCGAAAGCGUGGGUAGCAAACAGG
rnacentral:rRNA from 1 species